UACGGAGGAUGCAAGCGUUAUCCGGAUUUAUUGGGUUUAAAGGGUGCGUAGGCGGAUUUAUAAGUCAGCGGUGAAAGACUGUCGCUCAACGAUAGCAUUGCCAUUGAUACUGUAGAUCUUGAGUACAUUUGAGGUGGGCGGAAUGUGUAGUGUAGCGGUGAAAUGCUUAGAUAUUACACAGAACACCAAUUGCGAAGGCAGCUCACUAAACUGUUACUGACGCUGAGGCACGAAAGCGUGGGGAUCAAACAGG
rnacentral:rRNA from 1 species